rnacentral:lncRNA from 10 species
GAUCAUGUUCCCUUUUAUUCCUGGCCUUAGAUCUGUAAAAUCUGAACCUAACAGAUUAUUCAUUUCAAGUGAUUUCUAUUAUUUUUUGUCUUGUUUUUAGAGAUAGGGUCUUACUCUUGUCACCCAGGCUGGAGUACAGUGGUGUGAUCCAUCAUAGCUCACUGCUGCCUUGAAUUCCUGCGCUCCUCUAUCCUCCUUCCUCAGCCUCCUGAGUAGCUGAGACCACAGGUGGAUGCCACCACACCCGGCUAGUUUAAAAAAUUUUUGUAAAGAUGGGAAUCUCGCUAUGUUUCCCAGGCUGCUCUGGAAUUCCUGGCCUCAAGCAAUCUUCCCGCCUUGGCCUCCCAAAGCGCUGGCUUCUGUUUUGUUUAGCUUGCGGCCAAGAUAAAUUAUAGCCACGACCGCUCAAGUGGCUUCAUGUUACUAUCUUUGAACUCAACAACAACAAAAGACUCCAUUUGGAAAGCAGAAAAGUUCAGGCUAAGCUGAAAUUCAUAGAAUGUUCCUUCCCAAGGAAAAGCAGGAGAUGAUACUGAAUAACGCAGGAGCGCGUAAGCCCUUACCUUGGCCUGUCCGAUCUCAAAGCGUUCUUGUGGGGUGUAAAUAACCAUAGUUUCUGGUCGGGUGGUCCGAAUGAAGCACAUCCCCUAGGGCAUAAAUGGAGCCAUGGUUUAGAAAAGCAAACAAUGAAUUUCCAACAACAGACGUUGAAAGAAGUGAAGGAGGGGUGUGAAGAGGACAGCUCUUUCUACUAAAAACACAGGCUUUGGAGAAAGGGGUGAGCAUCUACAACCAGUGGACGACAGGUCCCAGCAGGACCUUGGGGCUGCCCUGAAGGACAAGCUCCCCCAUGCCAUCACACCAAUCCCCUUGGAAGAUUCCCCAAUACUCACUGACUUGUUCUGUGCAGACAGAACAUUAACUCACGGCAGGAGCACUGACUCACAUUGACUAGAAAGCCCGAAUAGAAUGUUAAAACAUUAACUUUUGCCACAAUAACUUGUAAUGCUUCAUCCUUAGAAAGACCAUAAACAUCUAUCUGAAUACAAGACGACUGGCCCCUUUCCCAAUAAAAUGUAAAUACAUUUUUAUGACCAAUUUGAGCACAUAAA